rnacentral:rRNA from 1 species
UAAGUGUUAUGGUCAUGAAACUCAAAGGAUUUGGCGGUAGGUAAUUUUAUUAGAGGAACUUGUCUCUUAAUAGAUAUUACACAUUUUAAUUUACCUCUUUUAUAUUCUUUGUAUAUCGUCGUUUAAUUAUACAGAAAAUAUUUAUAGAUUUAAUUUUCUUUAAAAUUUAUUUUUUAAAAUCAGAUCAAGAUACAGGUCAUGAGGAGGAGAUGAUGAGUUACAUUAAAUUUAUUUAUGGAUUAUUAUUUGAAUAAUUGAUAUUAAAUUGGAUUUAAAAGUAAUUUAUAAUUAGAAAGUUUAUAUGAAUUAAUCUUACUUAUGU